AGGACGAACGCUGGCGGCGUGCUUAACACAUGCAAGUCGAGCGGAGAUAUAGCAAUAUAUCUUAGCGGCGGACGGGUGAGUAACGCGUGGGCAAUCUGCCUCAUACAGGGGGAUAACACUGGGAAACUAGUGCUAAUACCGCAUAAAAUAGUGAAGUGGCAUCACUUUUACUAUCAAAGGAGCAAUCCGGGUGUGAGAUGAGCCCGCGUCCGAUUAGCUAGUUGGAGGGUAACGGCCCACCAAGGCGACGAUCGGUAGCCGAACUGAGAGGUUGAUCGGCCACAUUGGGACUGAGACACGGCCCAGACUCCUACGGGAGGCAGCAGUGGGGAAUAUUGCGCCAAUGGGGGAAACCCUGACGCAGCAACGCCGCGUGAAGGAUGAAGGUUUUCGGAUUGUAAACUUCUUUGAUUGGGGACGAUAAUGACGGUACCCAAAAAACAAGCCACGGCUAACUACGUGCCAGCCGCCGC
rnacentral:rRNA from 1 species